GAGUAAAUGCAUCGGAACGUAUCCCGUAGUGGGGGACAACCCAGCGAAAGCUGGGCUAAUACCGCAGUAUGCUCUACGGAGGAAAGUGGGGGACCGCAAGGGCCUCACGCUAUGGGAGCGGCCGAAUGUCCGAUUAGCUAGUUGGUGGGGUAAAGGCCUACCAAGGCGACGAUCGGUAGCUGGUCUGAGAGGAUGAUCAGCCACACUGGGACUGAGACACGCCCCAGACUCCUACGGGAGGCAGCAGUGGGGAAUUUUGGACAAUGGGGGCAACCCUGAUCCAGCCAUGCCGCGUGCGGGAAGAAGGCCUUCGGGUUGUAAACCGCUUUUGUUCGGGAAGAAAAGGCACGUCCUAAUACGGCGUGUUCUUGACGGUACCGGAAGAAUAAGCACCGGCUAACUACGUG
rnacentral:rRNA from 1 species